UUGGGAAUUUUGGACAAUGGGAGAAAUCCUGAUCCAGCGAUGCCGCGUGUGUGAUGAAGGCCUUCGGGUCGUAAAGCACUUUCAGCAGGGAAGAAGGGAAACUUGACUGUACCUGCAGAAGAAGCACCGGCUAACUCCGUGCCAGCAGCCGCGGUAAUACGGAGGGUGCAAGCGUUGUUCGGAAUCAUUGGGCGUAAAGCGCGUGUAGGCGGUCUUAUAAGUCUGGUGUGAAAGCCCGGGGCUCAACCCC
rnacentral:rRNA from 1 species